GACAGAGGGUGCAAACGUUGCUCGGAAUUACUGGGCGUAAAGCGCGUGUAGGCGGUCACGCAAGUCAGGUGUGAAAGCCCAGGGCUCAACCCUGGAAGUGCACAUGAUACUACGUGGCUGGAGUACUGAAGAGGAGAGCGGAAUUCCAGGUGUAGCGGUGAAAUGCGUAGAUAUCUGGAGGAACACCGGUGGCGAAGGCGGCGUUCUGGACUGCUACUGACACUGAGGAACGAAAGCCAGGGGAGCAAACGGG
rnacentral:rRNA from 1 species